GGAUCACCGGUUCAUCACGUCGCGUAUCCGGUUGAUAGCGAAACACCGUCCUACUCGGCGAUAACGUCCUGCAUGCAUGGCGUAUGCUCAUCGUAAACUGGGUGGUCAGAUAGUCGACGAGCUCACGUUUUAUCGCUGGUUUU
rnacentral:sRNA from 1 species